rnacentral:misc_RNA from 1 species
AACCAUAGAAACCUGCGGAGUACCUGCGGAAGGAUCAUUACCGAGUCACGUGCUCAAUAACCCUUCUGUGGACCUGAAAUAAAACCGUUGCCUCGGCGGGCGGUCCCCCCAACCAAACCCCACGUGGUGGGUUAGGGGACCAGACAGUCCGGCACGCUUAAGGCGUCCGGCGCCAGCCGCUGGCCCCAAACAAUUAAACUCCUAGUAACCUUUACCUUCUGAGUUUCAAUAUUUUAAAAA